rnacentral:misc_RNA from 1 species
CGGCGAAAAGGAAUUUUACGAGCUGCGUCAUGCGACGUAGCUCGUUAUUUGUUGCACAAGACCGGCAAGCGAAUGGAUGCUUGCAUACAAAUUCAUUUGCCGGUUGUAAGAACAUGGAGCACGAAGUGCGGAAUGUUCGUGUGCG